CACACUCAACGCCGUCCAGACAAAUGCAUGCAGUUGGUUCAUGCGUGCAACGGAAAUUUGCCACUCACUUUGGUUCUGGACUGCCCUUUUUCGCAGCUAAUGCUGAGUUGUCUCCUUCUCGAGACGUUCUCCUCGGGAAUCCAUUUAAAACGCGUAACGGCCUAUUAAUAAGCCGUCGUUCCGAGCCAACGUUCUAAGAUCUCGUGAAAGGAACCAGGAGUGGCAGAUAAUGGUAGACGUUAUCGUUCCUCUGGAAAUAAAGAUUCGGCAUCGUUAUCUUGCGUGUACAGCGUCUCCAUUACAACAGAUACUGUCAUCUGAUUCUUUCAACCUGCCACGCGCAUAAUCCACUUCUAUUUUAAUCCUUGCAAGAGCUCAGUGGACAGCAAAGGUGACCCUUCAGAUACCUAAUAUCCUUUUUCUGCCGCUAAAUAAUAAACGUAACACUAUCUUCAAAAUUGUUACUUUGUAUUUAUGCACGUUUUUUUUCUUUGUGAAAACUAU